rnacentral:ncRNA from 2 species
GGCUCAUCCAGAGGGGCAGAGGGAACGGCCCGACGAAGCCCCGGCAACCGGCGAUGCGCAUUCAGCGCUCGAUCACGGUGCCAAUUCCGACCCGCGUGUGCGGGAAAGAUGAGGA